GGCCAGGUAGCUCAGCUGGUUAGAGCACUGUUCUGACAUGCCAAGAUUUUGGGUUUGACUUCCAGUCAGGCCA
rnacentral:tRNA from 1 species